UACUUAAUGUAUUACAAAUCUGGGUUUGUAAUCCACUAUAGUCCAAUACUUGUUUUUGUCUUUUCUCUUUCCGAACUCAAACAACAACAAAGGCAGCAUUUGCAAAAGAAAGACAAAACACCCACAAGUGUGUGACAUGUUUAAAGUGCUUAUGCAAAGAAUUGUCUGAAUAGAUUUUAACUUAUUUACAAAAUUGGAUUUUGGAACCAAAUCAGAUCGGUUAUUAUCUAUCCGAACCAGACUGGUUAUUAUCCAAUAUCCGAAAUUAAAAGAAAGAUAGUCAGUCGACUGUAUAUAAUCCAAACUUUAAAUCUAUAUUUUCUCUAAUAAAUAUUCAAGUGCCUCGAGCUGACCUUACUAGUUAUAUAAUUCAUGAAAUUUGUGAUUUUGAAGAUUAUCAAAUUUCUCAUGCUUAGAUCUCAAUUAAUCAAACUCCAAACCUUACAAAAGGUAUCUUUCGAAUAUAAAAUUAUGUCUUCUAAUUGGUUGUAUUAGUUGUUUUAAAAUGAUAUAUCUUAGAGUUAAACCGUUAAUUAGUCUCAAAACUAUUUCUGAUAAUUAGACUUGGCCUCUCUGCCUCGACUCUUUUAUCUUAUUUACAAAUGGAUUCAUCAUCAUCUAACCAAAUCAAGAUAAUAGAUCACCUUGACGCAAAUGAGUCGUUUCAUUCAAAUUUGUUUUUUUUUUUUUGUAACAAUCAUUUGAGUUGGGUUCAAUUGUUUCUUCCUCUAAAACAUUGACUUGCAUGGAGUUUGACCAUUCCUUCUCCUUAUUGCUAUUGCAAUUUAUAUAUACUAGUCUUCAUUGACCAUAGCUUUACAAAAAAAAAAAAAAAUGUCUUCAUUGACCAUAAACCAUGAGAUAUCUAUUAGAAAAUCAUAUGGGAAACAAACAUUCUCCUGCAAAUCAUAUAUAAUAGUUUCUCUGUAUCUAUGGACCCAAAAUUAAUCAAACAUGAGAGACUGUUUACUUGGUUUUAUCAAAUGAGUCCCAUAACCGCAUUUAGAGAGGAGAUGCGUCGGUCUUUAGAAACUAUAGUCACCUUCUUCUCAUCCACGUCGAUAUAGAAGAAAAGGAGAAUAGUAUAUUUAUAUAGGUCAAUGUAGCAACGUGUGAUUGGCCCUCAUUUUUUAAUAGAGAGAAAAGAUGGAACAUGAAUAACAUAAUGGGUCCAAAUUUUGUGUCAGAUAAAUACACUUCGAAGAAAUGAUCGGUGCAUCUCAUCAUCACCAGAGAUGUGGGUUCUAAUGUGAAGAGAAUCUCAUCAAGAAGAUGCAAAAGUAAGACAUUCAUUUUUUUUGGUAAAAUAAGUAAGACAUUCAUGAUCGUGGUGGACUUGAUUUAUCAAUUAUUCUGGUUUUAUCUCAAUGAUUUACGGAUGAGGUUGUUGAUACACACUAAUGUCUAGUGCUAUAUGAUCAACAAAUUCUAGUUUUAUAGCAAAGAAGAUUUAACAGUGUAGGACAAUAACUUCAACAUUAUAAAAAAAAUCAAAAAUCAAAACCAAAUUAAAACUAUUAAUUUUAGUUGAAAUAAGAUUUAUUAAAUUUUGAUUUACUUUUCAAGAAAAAAUUUAAAUUUUAAUUUUUUUUUGAUGAAACAUAGAAAUUCAAGACAUUAGUGUGUAUCUAUAUAGUUUCUUGAACUUUCAAAAUCAAUUAUUAGUUAUUAAAUUAUAAACAAAUGUAAAAAAUAAAUAUAAUAUCCAAUAAUAAAGAAAUAAUUUCAAAUUUAUUAAUGACUGAUUAAAUUUAAAUGAUCAUAUCUUCGCAUGAUACAUUUUCGUCGCAUUGAUACAUUUUAUCAGAUUUCUUUUUGAUCAUCUGUUUGUUCGCAGUGGUAAUUAGAUAUCCAUGUUGUAUUGGUAUAUCUGAGAUGGCAGGUUUCGAACUAAUCACCUUUCCACAUGUACACAAAUGCACAAGCUGGUUUUCUUAGACGCUGUUUCAUUUAGGUGGAGAAUGGGUUUAGCGGUGACAGCUUUCCAUCGAUAAUUGCCAAUGCAUCCAUCUGCAAAGAGUUAAAUCGCCCUCGUUUGCUGUCCCACAUCAAGAGAAGAGAUUGUGUGCUUCUUGAACGAGCUUGGUUGGCUUUUUCAGAAGUACCAGACCUCUGAGCCUAGAGAACAAUCCGACUUUUCCCUGUCCCUCUUCAAGUUUUUGCUCGUUUCUUCAGUUGAAAGAGACUAAUGUGCUCUCAUCAGAACACUCCUCGACAUGUUUGGUAGAGAGAAACUUAGUGAAUGAUGAGCUGAACAGAAAAGCACAGAUAUGGUGGAACAAUUACUACUCAUUCAUUACUCUGUUAUACCCAUCUUCUCACCAAUGAUUGAUCCACAAGAGGUUUCUUUCUUUCUAACAGAAAAAGUUGGUUUUCAUCAUUGUUUCAGAUGGGAUGAUCGACAGAAGAAACAAGCAAGUCUCACUAAACAUCUAGAUUGUUCAAAGCAGGAGAUUAAGUUCAGUGACAAACAAGUUAUCAUCAAGUGGUACUUGUGGCUCUAAAGUAGAGGAGAAAAAUACCCUUUUUAAAGUGGCGGAACACAAACAAUGUUCGAGAAAUGAAACGUUUAAUAAUGAAAAGAGGACGAAAGUGCGAGAACUCAACCUAUGUAGUGAGUUCCAUGAUGGCGGAAACAAUAUCUCCAUCGUUGGCUUUAAGAGCCUUAGUGGCUUUGGCCUUGGAAACACCAGCCUGAGUCAUCACGAGCUCAACAUCCUUGGCUUCAACACCGGUCUCAUCCACAUCAUCAUCAUCAUCAUCCUCCUCU